GCAGCCAAAAAUGAUCCCUGCGUCCAACGACGACGGGAAACGCGAAAUUUAUGUCAAACUUUUCGUUUCUCGCCGUAGCGUCGAAAGAAGAAAAAAAAACAUUCGAACGCGUGAUUCGAGAUUGCGUAACAGAAAGGGUUCCACGAUCGUCCUGGCAACGACCGUUGGGGAGGGGGAACGACGCGGAGGGUGCAUUCCGCAUCCCGUGGAAACAGUUUUGUAUAACAGAGCCAGCGAGAAUAUUUUUAUAUAUUCAGAAUGAAACGAGCGCGAAAGAGCGACGGUUGAAGAAAAAACGAUUUCGUUCCAGAGUAUCGAAGAACAUUUUGACGAAGAAUUCUUAGAAGAAUUAUUUUUCGAUAUUUAAAAAGAAAUUGUGUAUUUGUUUGAGAAUUUCUAUAAUAAAAAAUAAAAGCUCUGUUUAUGGAUUAAAUCGCAUACAAAAAAA